rnacentral:rRNA from 1 species
CAUUAUUGAAUAAUCAUGAACAGGCUGUUGCUGGCCCCUUCUGUAAAGGAAGGGAGAUAUGUGCACGCUUGUCAUCUUUAUUUCUCCAACUGUGCACAUAUUGUAGAUCUGGUGAUUUGAAUAACUGAGAAUUGCGUAUGCUUUUCUUGAAUUACAUUUUUCAGGUCUAUGUUAUUUUUUCUUACAAUCUCUGAAUGUGUAUAGAAUGUUGAAUUGACAAUAUAAAGUUGUUAUACAACUUUCAGCAACGGAUCUCUUGGCUCUCGCAUCGAUGAAGAACGCAGCGAAAUGCGAUAAGUAAUGUGAAUUGCAGAAUUCAGUGAAUCAUCGAAUCUUUGAACGCAACUUGCGCUCCUUGGUAUUCCAGGGAGCAUGCCUGUUUGAGUGUCAUUAAGUUCUCAACUACACUAAUUUGGUGUGGCUUUGGAUAUGGAGGUUGCUGGCUUUUUUAUAAUCAGCUUCUCUGAAAUAUAUUAGUAGUAUCUAAGCAGAAUAAAUUUACUACAGGUGUGAUAAGUUAUCUAUGCCUUAGUACAACUGCAUCAGUAGAUUGCACUGCUUCUAACUUGAUCAUUGCAUAUGACAAAUUUGACCUCAAAUCAGGUAGGACUACCCGCUGAACUUAAGCAUAUCAAUAAGCGGAGGAAAAGAAACUAACAAGGAUUCCCCUAGUAACUGCGAGUGAAGCGGGAAAAGCUCAAAUUUGAAAUCUGGCAGUUCUUGACUGUCCGAGUUGUAAUCUAGAGAAGUGCUACCUGUGCUAGACCGUGUACAAGUCUUCUGGAA